rnacentral:misc_RNA from 1 species
GAACGGGGAAACGCUCCCGCCUCCAGUUUCCAUGCAUCGUAGCCGUUUUCAAAACCUGAAAGAAGCUAUAUAAGAAAUUAUGAUUCAGAAGGAAGGGAAUAUGAUUCUUUCAGAAUUCCAUUUGUUAAGCAAAUACCAAAAUCAGAACCAGAAUACCAUUCUGACAAGAAACAGGACAUUGACUCGAGAAUCAUUCAAAUGAUCCUGCAAUACCAAAUUUCAAAAUAAGUUACAUGAUUUGCGAUACAGAAUUCUUUCUGUGAAGACUAUUAGGUAUUACAGAAGUAAUACCUGAUUGUUAGAAUGAUGCAGAUGUCUUAUUACAGGAGAUAUGGGAAAAUGAUAGGCAAAUAAUCUCCUUUACCUCAUCCAAGAACUGGAGUCCCAGGCGCCACAGUAUGCAAGAUUUGAAGAGAACUGACGCUUUGGAUACCCUGAAUAUGGAUUUCAGAUUCUUGAACUUGAAUUCAGAGAUGCAAACGUGGGAUACAAAUCUAUGCCCAAUUUUCUAGACCGUCAAGUUCCCACUCUGGAAUUGGCUGUGUCAGAUUCACACAUAUGAAUGCUCAGCUAGGUUUGGAGGUAAACAGCCUUCUGGAAAUGACACUCUGCAAUUUGAUAUCUCUAAAUAUCGAAGGGAAGUGAGAUUUUGCAUCUGACUGGGUAGAGACCUCAAAUUUUCACAGAACAUAAUUUUCAAAGAGACAAGCUUGGGGUUGGGCAAUCCCAUUUCUGGAAACAACUCAAAUUGAUCACAGCAGCAUAUCUGUAAACUUUGGAGACACUGGAGGUCUUGCAUAUGAUUGGUUAGAGAUCUCAGUCUUCCACAGUAGGAAAUCUUUAAAGAGAUAAGAGUAGGGAUGGGCAAUUCCCUCUCUGGAAACGACUCUAGUUCAAGACAGUUGUCUAUUCUUAGUUGUGUGAGAUGAGAAAGCCCAUAAUAAAGGGAGUUUAAUGAUUGUGUCGUC